ensembl:lncRNA
CUUCUACACACCUAUUAGAACUGAUAAAUGCAGGAAACUGGAGCCCGGUUCCGGUGUAUCUGACAGUUGGUUCCAUGGUGUCUGGCAGGUGGUUCCUGUGUGUCUGGCAUAUGGUUCUGGUACAUUCGAAAGGUGGUUUCAGUGUAUCUGGUACUUGGUUCUGGGAUAUCCAACAGGUGGUUCCAAAGUGUGUGGCAGGUGGUUCCUGUGUGUCUGGCAUGUGGUUCUGGUAGGUUCGGAAGAUGGUUCCAGCCUGUCCGUUAGGUGCUUCCAGCAUGUCUGGAAGUUGGUUCUGGCGUGUCAGACUCAUGUUUCCAGUGUGUCCGGUGGGUGCUUACGGUGAGUCUGGUGGGUCAUUAUGGGAUGUCUGUGUGGUGGUUCCAGAGUGUUCGGCGGGUGCUUUUGGCAUGCCUGACGGGUUUUUCCAGCAUCUAAGGUGCCUGGUUCGAGCAUAUCCAGCAGGUGAGUUCUUUCUCAGCUUCCUAAGGAGCUGGAAGCAAGACAGUUUGUGGCUUGUCUCCCCUUGAGGGAUGGAGGCAGUGCUUUGUGCAGUCCACCUCUCGAGCAAUAUAGGGCAUGGUUGAGAGCAAAUGGGCCUUUCUGACAUAGGGUCUUUCUGACACUCUCUCCACGAGUGCACAAGGGCGGUUGGUUAAAAGUCUCUUGUCUCUAUCCUCCUAAGCUUGUGGAAUCACAAUCAUAUGGGCCUUGGCCCCAUUGCUUAAGGGGAAGAUGUAGCCAUUACCCCUGAGCCGGGUUGGCAAGAGGGAAAUGUGGCAGAAGCAGAAGUUCUAAAGUAGCGAGUUAAGGGCUGGGAGGAAAUGGCGUUCAACUGCCUGUGUAUGAGAGGUUCCCAGUAUGCUGUAAGAGCACUGUGGAAAGCGACUUCUUUCUCAGCUUCCUAAAGAGCUGGAAGCAAGAUGGUUCGUGUCUUGUCUCCCCUUGAGGGAUGGAGGCAGUGCUUUGUGCAUUCCACCUCUAGAGCAAUGUAGGGCACGGCUGAGAGCAAAGGGGUUUUCUUCCAUAGGUGCUUUCUGAAACUCUCUCCUCCAGUGCACAAGGGCGGUUGGUUAAAAGCCUAUUGUCUCUCUCCUCCUAAGCAUGUGGAAGCACAAUCAUUCGGGACUCAGCCUCUUUGCUUAAGGAGAAGAUGUAGGCAUUUUGUCUGAGCCGGGUUGGCAAGAUUGAAAUGCCCCAAAAGCAGAAGUUCUAAAGCAAUGAGUUAAGGGCUCCAAAUAAACAGCAUUUCAGGUGCCUUUGUAUGAGAUGUUCAAGGUACACUAUAAGAACAGUGUGGAAAGUGAGUUCUUUCUCAGCUUCCUAAAGAGCUGGAAGCAAGAUGGAUUAUUGCUCAUCUCCCCUUGAGGGUUGGAGGCAGUGUUUUGUGCCUUGCAGUUUUAGGGCAAUGUAGGACUCUGCUGAGCAAACUUGGCCUUUCUUCCAUAGCUGAUUUCUGAACACUCUCUCCACCCAUGCACAAGGGCGGCAUGAGAGGUUGCCGGUAUGCUGUAAGAGCACUGUGGAAAGUGAGAUUUUUCUUAACUUCCAAAGAGUGGUUGGUUAAAAUACUAUUGUCUCUCUCCUCCUAAGCAGGUGGAAGGACAAUCAUUCAUGCCUCAGCCGAAUGAUUUGGGUGAGGUCUCGUGUGACCCACCUGCCUUAAAUGCUGGAACCAACUGCUGGACACUUCAGAAGCAUCAUCUGGAAACAGUGGAACCACCCACCGCAGAUGUGAGAAUCAGGUCCAAAAUGUGCCAGAGCACCUGCAGGACACACCAGAACCACCUGACUCAAACGCCAAAAUCACCUGCCAGAUACACAAGAACCACUUGAUGGACACUCCAGAUUCACAUGACGCGCAUGAAAGACCCAUCUCUCAGAGUGACAGAACCAUGUGCUGGAAACGCCGGAACCACAUCACUGACAGACAUGAACCACCUGCUGGACACGCCUGAAUCAUCUGCUUCACUCACCAGAACCACCUUCUGGACAAGCCAAAAUCACCUGCUGGAUACACUGGAACCAGGCCCCUUAGAAGCCGGAAAAAGCCAACAGACAUGCCAGAAGCACCUGCCGCACACUCUGAAACCACGAUACAGACAUGCCUGAAUGACGCACCAUACACACCAGAAGCACCCACCAGACACGCCAGAACCACCUGGAACCACCCACCGGACACACUGUAACCAUGACACUGACAUGCCAGAACAACCUUGCAGACAUGCCAGAAGCACCCAAAGGACAUGCUGGAACCAUCUUCCGAACAUACCAGAACCACAUGCUAGACACACAGGAACCACCUGCCAGACACUUUGCAACCACCUGUUGGAUAUGCCGAGACAACGUACCAGAUACACUGAAACCACCUCCCG